rnacentral:rRNA from 1 species
GACGAACGCUGGCGGCGUGCUUAACACAUGCAAGUCGAACGAAGUGGCGAACGGGAGAGUAACGCGUAAUCAACCUGCCCUUCAGAGGGGGAAAACAGUUGGAAACGACUGCUAAUACCGCAUGCUGAAGGAGGGGAAUGAGCUGGAUUCGCCAGUGGGAGGGGUAACGGCCCACCAAGGCGAUGAUUAGUAGCCGGUCUGUGAGGUUGAACGGCCACAUUGGGAGUGAGACACGGCCCAGACUCCUACGGGAGGCAGCAGUGGGGAAUCUUCCGCAAUGGACGAAAGUCUGACGGAGCAACGCCGCGUGAGUGAUGACGGCCUUCGGGUUGUAAAGCUCUGUUAAUCGGGACGCGGUACCGGAAUAGAAAGCCACGGCUAACUACGUGCCAGCAGCCGCGGUAAUAC